CGAGCGAGAAGCCCGCAAGGGUGAGUAAAGCGGCGCACGGGUGAGUAACACGUGGGUAAUCUUCCUUGGAGCCCGGAAUAACUCCCCGAAAGGGGUGCUAAUGCCGGAUGAGACCACGGGAUCUCCGGAUCCUGAGGGAAAAGGCGGCCUCUGUACACAAGCUGUCACUCCAAGAUGAGCCCGCGGCCCAUCAGCUAGUUGGCGGGGUAAUGGCCCACCAAGGCAUCGACGGGUAGCUGGUCUGAGAGGACGAUCAGCCACACUGGAACUGAGACACGGUCCAGACUCCUACGGGAGGCAGCAGUGGGGAAUUUUGCGCAAUGGGCGAAAGCCUGACGCAGCAACGCCGCGUGUGUGAUGAAGGUCUUCGGAUCGUAAAGCACUGUCGGGAGGGACGAAUAAGGCGGCGGCUAAUAUCCGCAGCCGAUGACGGUACCUCCAAAGGAAGCACCGGCUAACUCUGUGCCAGCAGCCGCGGUAAUACAGAGGGUGCAAGCGUUGUUCGGAAUUAUUGGGCGUAAAGCGCGUGUAGGCGGCCUUGCAAGUUGGGUGUGAAAGCCCUCGGCUUAACCGAGGAAGCGCGCCCAAAACUACAGGGCUUGAGUACCGGAGAGGGUGGCGGAAUUCCCGGUGUAGAGGUGAAAUUCGUAGAUAUCGGGAGGAAC
rnacentral:rRNA from 1 species